ensembl:lncRNA
ACCAACCAACCAUCCAACCAACCAACCAACCAACCAACCAAUCAACCAACCACUCAACCAACCAACCAACCAGCCAAUCAACCAAGCAACCAACCAACCCCUAGUGGCCGAUCGACCCUGACAGUGAUGAGGACCUUGAAACCACGGAAACAGAGCCAGAGUCAGAGUCUCCAGAUGGUCCCAAGCCAGAGUCCAGAGACAGACCCGAGCUAGAGCCCAGAGACGAACCUGAGCCGGAGUCCACAGACGGACCUGAGGUGGAGUCCGAAGACGGACCCAAGCCUGGACCUGUAGCCGAAGAGACUCUGUCUGCCAAACAGCAAAUUGUACAUUUGAAACAUUUGCUAGAGAUUCGAGAAGCAGAGUCCUUGAGAAAGAUCGGCGAUCUGUCUGUGGAUCUCAAAAAAGAAAAAAAAAAUAGAGAUGCUUCAGUCAAAAUUGAAAAAAUGGAAGCAUCUUUAGCAGACGUGACAAGACAAAAAGAGGAGGCCGAAACCUGUUUGGCCAAAUGGGUGGAGGAAAACUCGAAGACAAAAUAUCAGCUGCAAAAACUUCAGCUGGACUUUGAAGAAAGACAGUGCCAGUGGGAGACAGAAAAAGUGUCUCCCGAAAUUCCAACUAGAGACAGCACUUGCAGAAAAGAGCCAAGAAGAAGAAUGUACCAGGAGGUGCAGGUCAAAAAAGAAGAAAUCCUGGUGGAAGAGGGUAGUUCGUUUCUUCAGGAGACCUGGUGGGACCAAAGCUCAGCCUGAGUCCUGAUCCAGGUGAACUACAGAUCAGAUUCAUGCCACCAGGUAAUCUACGGUUCAAAGACGAGAGCCAUUUACUCACCAAAUCAGGUUGGAAGUGAAACCUCCUGCCGAGUUAAACAGAUUAAACUGAGGAAUCCUGGAGGCACUGAGAUCCCAGAACAAACUGUAUCUGGAUUAAAGCUUCGACUGUCGCUGUUACAUGAUCAGUGGAUGGAAAACCAGGACCUGUCCUGUCACAAAAUGAGACACAAAACGACAGAAACGAGACACAAAACGACAAAAACGAGACACAAAACGACAAAAACGGGACACAAAUUACUGGAAUAAACUCUUAGAUGAUUGUAGGAAACCAACAGUAGAACUCACAGCUGUUUAAUAGUAAAAGGAAGAACAUUUCCACAUGAACAAUGUGAAGGGAACUUAAAGGAUUGGGACUAAAGCUGGAAGAAAACCACUUAUCAGUGAGGCUAAUCAGAAAUAAAGGCUUCAGUUUGCUAUGGAGCAUAAAGACUGGACUCUGGAGCAAUGGGAGAAGGUCAUGUGGUCUGAUGGGUCCAGAUUUAUCCUGUUCCAAAGUGAUGGGGGCAGUAGUCUAGGUUUGGUUUUAGUCCCGACUUUGUGCCGGUUUUUGACUUUUUUUAGGACUAGUUUCAGAAUGGAUUCUGACUGGUUCUGAACAUUUUUGGACUGGUUUAAGUUUGUUUUUGGACCUGGUUUCAGACCUUUCAAGGACUGGUUUAGGACGGGUUUUUCAAUAUCUUGGACUUUUAUAGGAGUAGUUUAGGUUUGAUUUUGGACCUGGUUUCAGACUUUUUGAGGACUGGUUGUC